GGGGCUGUAGCUCAGUGGUAGAGCGCUCUCCUCGAACGUGAGGCACUAGGUUCGAUCCUCGGCACCA
rnacentral:tRNA from 1 species